GCAAGGCCCCCAGAGCGGCUGCACUCCCUGGGGCACUGGCCAGUGCUUCCCUCCGCACACCUGCAGCCUACCCAGUGGGUGCAGCCCAGCCCCGAUCCCCAAGGCCGACAGUCCUGCAUCAUGGGACCAGAAGAAGCCAGCCUCCCUGUUUCCAGCGAGAAACCACAGCCCGUGUGGUCUUCAUAGAGCAGGGAGGAAGCCCCUUCCACCGAGGGUGGUCUCUGGAAACGAGCUCAGGCCAGUUCUGCACAGAUCAGGCAUAGCUUGCAGGAACCAAAGCAAUCCCGACGAGCAAGGAGGAGUGAGGGAAGGAAUCCGAGAACAAGCGAAGCAGAAGUGACAAGGUCGUGAAUGUCUGUGAGGUUAGCCCGCUCAAGACCAAGCCCAGCGUCUACAGAUUAAAAGCAGCCAUUCGUCUCAGCCCUGCUUCUGGGGCUGCUUGCCCUCUAUCGACCCCUUCCUGACACUCAGAGGAAUUGGCCGCUCUUCCACUGACCAUUCUCCUCCUGGACCCUCGGCUUCACCUCAAAGUUGACCAACCCCCUGUGGGUUCUCUGUUCUCCUUUGCAACCCAGGCCUAACAUGCAGGACCAGCCACAAAGCUUGGGAGCACAGCACAGAGUGAAAAUGAGGGGCCCCUUCUGAACACGGGGCCUGGUAUGACUACCAUGAAGCCAGCAGGUCUGCGACUUCAGGCCCUGCUCCAGUCCCUCUCCCUCUUGGUCCUGAAGCUCUCGACAUCUGCGGCUGCCCUUUUCCUCUCAGCCUCCCCAGGUCCAGCUCAAAGAGUCUUCUAUGCAUCUGUGCUCCUGGAAGAGGGAACUUCAUCCAGGAUCUUGCAGAUCGCCCAUCCGUCUUACUGCAGACACUGCUCUCCACGACUGUCUUCCUGAAGCACUGGCUUAAGUACUCCCUUGGAGGAGCAGAGGGGUGGGUGCACAGAGUCGGAGUGUGCAGUGUGCAACCUGCAUAGCUGUAUGCAGCAGCCUCGAGUUAAAGGAGGACUUGCCCAGGAACCAAAAUUAGGUGUCCAGGAAGGUCUUCAGGCAGAGUUUAUGUGCCCAGGACUAGUAACAAGAAGUGACCCUCAGAUAUCAUAUCACUUACUAUACCCCAAGCCCUGGUUAAGUUUUUUGCACGUAUUAAAUAAUCGAUUUCUUUCUCACAA